UCUUUUGGUGUGAUGGCCGCCGCCAAGGCAGGAAUUGGGGGAUUCUGUUAUUCCGGACGGCUUGGGGGGCUCUCUGUACCAUCAGAAGGCCACCGACAGCCCCCAGGUUACCGAGGGCCUGUUAAUUGUGUGCCAGAGAGGUGGGAAGCGGUGUGCUGGGUUAAGCUUGGGGCCUGCUGUCGCUAGAUUGGCCUGGGGCCUCUGGCAGCUAAGGGCUAGAGGAGGGGCUCCAGCCUGCCAGACCCUAACCGUCUGGCUUUCAGCCUUCAAAAUAUCUGGGUGGCCAGCGCCUAAGCAUUUUGGGGCAUGCCUUGUUUUGUUGUGGUUUGUAUCCUGCACCCCUCCCACUUUUCUUACAGUGUUGUACUGUGUUCCAUUAGUCGUUGAUGCUCAGGACCCUAUUUGAGGUUAGGUUGGGCUUGUUUUCUUGGGUCUGGUGGGAUUUGUGCAACAGGUGAAAUUUUGGAAAGUCUGAAGGGCAAUAUCCUGAGUGUUGUCUGUCUUGUUUUCGGUGUGACAAACUGCGUGAGUGGUGAAAGUGCCACUGAACGUGUGCUUCACCUUCUCUUGCAUGUGGUGAACCUUGCCCCUGUUUGCUAAUGCCCACAGGCAGUGUUCGGCAGUUCCUCCUUGCGAAAUGCCUUUCUGUUAACUUGGAUGUGUUCUUAAACCUUUGCGAGCCUCUGGAAGACUGCUUUGCAGUUAGUUGGUCGUAGAACAGUAUUGUAGAACAGUAUUGCAAAAAAUGAAUGUGAAACAAAUACCAGCGUUACAAUUACCCUUAGUUCUAGGGAGCAAGCCCCUUCACCUUAGUGGUGCUGUGGGGUGGUUUGGGUACUUAAGGGAAUCAGAUUUGCUUUUAGAUGCGUUACCUUACUCUUGGCUCCCAGGGUUCCUCUGCCUGUUGGCACACCUUGAUCUUACUUGUUUUUCCAUACUCUCUUAGCUUGAGUCAAAAUGGGACACUGUGUACUGACAUGUAACUGCAUGUAUCAGAAUCUCAGGAUAACACCAAAUUGCCAAGCAGAGAGCCCUUCUGGACAUUUGUGAGUAGACACAUCUCUAAGAAAUAGUGAGAUUUUACACCCAAACAUUUUAACAUUUAAUCCCUGAGGCCUUUGUUUUGUACUCUGCUUUCUACCCACAUCAUUUCAAUUCUGCUGGUGUGAAAUGUUUUUUGAAAUACAAGGUCAGUUAUACUUGCAGAAAAAAAUGUGGUAAUAACUACUACCUUCUGGAGAACAUGAUUCCUAAGGUUGUGCAUAUGUAUUUGAUAAAUGUGUCAAAGGUGAUCAUUUUGAAACUUAGGGUUUGUAUGGUUUUGGCAAAACUCCUUUCAGUGAGCUAUAAUAGCACCAAAGAGUAACUGGUAGCAUUCUUUUUGUUGUUGUUGUUUAAUUAAUUCCUUUUUAAAAUUAGCCUCCACACCUAACAUGGGGUUUGAACUCAUGAUCCGUAGAUCAAGAGUCACAUGCUUUAUCAACUGAGCCAGCCGGGCGCCCCACUGGUAAUGUUCUUGAUGCAGGUGUUAUAAAUGAAAGCCUUUGGUUCUGCUGUUCAUUCAAAAAUAAAUACAAACCUACUUCCUAAUAAUACAGUGUGGAAGAUAACAAAAAAAUAAAGUUUUUGUUUUAGUUUGUAACCAAAAUUUGGAAACACUUGUGGGGAGGGAUUGAGUAGGAAUAUCUGUUUGAGCCCUUUAUGUAAAUCCUUUCUAAUUUCAUUUCCCUAUACAAUACUGUUCACAUUGCUGAAAACACAGUUUUUUUAUUAAUGUACUUCUGCAUCUGUGAACAUUUGUGCAUGGUAAAACUGCACAUACAAGACAACAAAACCACCCAUUCAGAAUUUGGCCCUUAGUUUUCCUUCACAGUAUUUGGAGUGGAAGAAUUGUUGAUUGUACUUUGUGCACUUGUUUAUAUAUUUUGUUUUAAAUAACAAUACUCUUAAACAUGGAGUGCAUCUCUACCCACUCACUCCACCUUUUUUUGUAGGAUAAUUAGGUGUCUGAAAGAAAGAGAAAAAGUUUUAAAAUUUUUUCAUGCCUUUCAAUGAAUCUUAUUUUCUGCUUCUACCUACAUAUAUUUCCAGGACAGGAUAUAUUAUUUCUGCUCUGCUGGAUAUUAUUUCUUGAAGACAGGUUAUUAAUCAUAGGAUUUUUAUAGGCAAGACACAACACACCAAUGCUUACAGCAAAAGGUUGUAUCUAGGUUAAAAGAUAUUACUUUGUUUCCUAUUGGAAAGAAAGCAAGAUCAUAUGCAUAUAUUCCAAAACUUAAAGGAUUCUAUCUAUAUCUUUUUUUUUUUUUUUUUAAGAUUUUAUUUAUUUGAGAGAGAAAGAGUGAAUGAGAGAGAGGAGGAGGAGGAGGGGGAGACAGAAAAGCAGACUCCCUCCUGAGCAGAGAACCCGACCUGGAGCUUGAUUCCAGGACUCUGGGAUCAUGACCUGAGCUGAAUGCAGACACUUAACAAACUGAGCUAUCUAUGCACUCCAGAUUCUGUCUAGAUCUUAGAAAUUCAAGAGCCCUUAAGAGAUUAUUUUGCUUUGUCCUCAGCUUUCCUUAUUUUUCAUUUUGUUUAACUUACUCCCUUGGUGUGCUUGUUUGGCUCUAAAACUUAAAUGGCAUUUUUGUUUAUUUUGGUACUUUUUUCCAAAUUAUUUAUUCAACUUUUAAAAAUCAUUUUUCCUCUAAAAUAUCCAUAAUAUUCAUUCUAAAUAUCCAUGCUUCAAGAAGUCAAGAAGAAUAUUCUUGAAAAAAAAAAAAAUAGAGGAGUC